CCCCUCUUAGGGUCUCACCUGGAGAAUUUCAAGUACUCUACUAGUCUCGGCUUUGGGAGGGAGAGUCAAGCAGAGGCCUACCCAUUCCAUUCCUCGCUUGACCAAUGGCUAGCCAGUGGAAGACAAUCUGCUACAAGU